rnacentral:lncRNA from 15 species
CAAACUAAAUACACUAUAUACACAAUAUUUACAAAUCCCUCCCUCCCAAACACACACACACACACACACACACACACACACACAAAGCGUUCGCUCAGAGAGGGGGAGCCGCCCCAUCACUCACUCACACACACACACACACACACACACAAAGUGAAGUGUUCGCUCAGGCAGGGGGGGCUGCUCCAUCACGCCCCUUCACCUCUGCCAGCCACUGCUCCACAGUUCUCCCUUUCCCCUCGGCCCGGGAGCAGAAGGUCUCCUUCUUGUAGCGGCUGUGGCCAAACGCCCGCGUCUUCGGAGCCACUGCUCCACAGUUCUCCCUUUCCCCUCGGCCCGGGAGCAGAAGGUCUCCUUCUUGUAGCGGCUGUGGCCAAACGCCCGCGUCUUCGGUUGGCCACUGCGCCUGCAGUUAAAGUGGGAGACCUUCUUUGCUGGUUUUAAGUGUUCUCCCAGCUCCCGGCACAACGCUCUUUCUCCUCCUGGAGCUUGCGCCUCCAGGCGGUGUUCCUUGGCACUGGUGGAGCAGUGGCAGCUGUGGCUGUGGAGGGGAUGUCACCGGCCUCCGCACUGACGCUGGUGGACAGGACGGCGUCCGCGCUGGAGGCUUGUGGGGUGGCUGAUGAGGAGGAGGAGUAGGCAGUGGAGGAGCUGGCGACGAUGAGGUCCAGGACCAGAAGCGUCCGUGGGCAGGCGGUGCUGGAGGGGCUGGUCUGGCUGCUCAGGCUGAUGCAGCACAGUCGGUGGGGCAGGCAGGGGCUCCGCUGCAGUCUGGGGAGUGCUGGGCUCCAGGACUGCAAUGGCGAUGGUGUCCCUCAUCAUGGCCUUGCUCCUCUGGUUGUGCCUUAAAAAACAGAAUGUAACAAAUGCACAUUAGUAAUCAUGACAUCACACACACACACUCACACAGUGCCACUUCAAAUCAGAUGUGAGAGAAAGGAUCAGGUCUUACCAUUGCGUCAGGGUCCGCCGAUUGACAUCAUAUAGCUGGAUGCGGGUGCUCGUCAUGAGGGCUGCACAACUAUAAACAUUCUCGCGAAUUGUUAGAUAGUCCCUCAUGACGGCACCCCAGCGAGGAAUCCAGACCCCGGCAAUCUUCCUGCCCUCGCUGCAGUGGAGGAUGCUGAGGUCCAGCAGGACAGCCUCCACAAGCCUCGACACAUCGGGAGACUGCGCCGCUCCCGCCCCCUUGCCCAGGACCGCACUACAUAGACAGAGAGAGAGAGAGAGAGAGAGAGAGAGAGAGAGUGAGUCAGUGAGUUAAUUAGUGACUGACAGGACAGGACAAGAACCAAAAAAAGCUUGGAAAUUUAUUGUGACUGCUUACCGCUUCACACUAUCCACACCCCUGGCAUGUGAGCGUGCCGCUGGGUGGUCCGGAAUCGGCCUUGGACAAGCCGGCCCUGGUGACGGGGGGGGGGGGGGAAUUUGACCGCUGCCUUGUCCCAAUCACUCAACUUCAGCCAGAGAGCGGUGAUCUCUCUGGCUUGCCUGGGAGUGACGUAGCGGCGGUGGCGCAGUUCCACGAGGGCCUGGGCCAGGGCCACGACGUGCUGGUAGCUGCCUCCACCUGGCCCGAUAACAUCCUUCCUCCUCCUCCUCCUCCUCCUCCUCAGCCUGCUGCACCUCCAUUUGGUCCACGCGGGUGAGGUUUGAGGACUGAAGGAGAGCGCUGUGGUGUUCGAGGAGACGAAUCUCCUCUGGUUCCUCCUCCUCGAACUCUUCAUCACUGCCCCCCCACCCCCCCCCGGCUUCGUCCUCAUCAGUCCCUCCUGGAGCGUCAGGAUCAUCCAGGUCCUUCUGCAGCACAGCGCCCGUCUGGGAGAACAGGUACUCCACCCCAAUGAGUUCCCCUGUGGGCACACAGAGACACAGAUGUUAAAUGACAGACACCUAAGACAGGUGUUAAACGUUACCGUU